ACAUGGGAGGUAGUAUAGAGACAGUUGGGUAGAGUACGCAGACAUGUCCUCCGUACUCUACCCAACUGUCUCUAUACUACCUCCCAUGU
rnacentral:pre_miRNA from 1 species